rfam:Microbial mat metagenome hsmat04_BHWN6801_y1, whole genome shotgun sequence.
CCCGGCGUUCUGCCGCCGGUACCCUACCCGGACAUGCGUCACUGGUAACCCUCCGACUUUGCUCAGGGCAGGCUGGUGGGGUGUGAAGCUCCGGGGACAAAGGUAUCCCUCAUUCGAAGGAAUGGCAACGAGACCGCGAGGCGAUGUUGUGACUGUCAGCACCAAGACGGUCGGGGGC